AUUGAACGCUGGCGGCAUGCCUUACACAUGCAAGUCGAACGGUAACAGGUCUUCGGAUGCUGACGAGUGGCGAACGGGUGAGUAAUACAUCGGAACGUGCCCGAUCGUGGGGGAUAACGAAGCGAAAGCUUUGCUAAUACCGCAUACGAUCUACGGAUGAAAGCAGGGGACCGCAAGGCCUUGCGCGAACGGAGCGGCCGAUGGCAGAUUAGGUAGUUGGUGGGAUAAAAGCUUACCAAGCCGACGAUCUGUAGCUGGUCUGAGAGGACGACCAGCCACACUGGGACUGAGACACGGCCCAGACUCCUACGGGAGGCAGCAGUGGGGAAUUUUGGACAAUGGGCGAAAGCCUGAUCCAGCCAUGCCGCGUGCAGGAUGAAGGCCUUCGGGUUGUAAACUGCUUUUGUACGGUACGAAAAGACUCUGGUUAAUACCUGGGGUCCAUGACGGUACCGUGAGAAUAAGCACCGGCUAACUACGUGCCAGCAGCCGCCGUAAAAC
rnacentral:rRNA from 1 species